UGUUCUGUUAUUUGAUCUUUCGCGUUCUUGUGGAUUAAAGCCCUAAAAUGGACGAGGAGGAAGUAGCGGCGAUAUGUCGAAACCCGGAGGAUUUCUCGGCCUCAGCCACAGUCAUCCCUUUUGAUUCGCCGCUCCCUCUCCUGCGAGGACCUGUUCCGGCUGGCCUCUCAGAUGACCCUGCCGCCAGCCCCUUCGUCCUCGCUUUCAGAGACGCCGAUUCCUGGCGAUCUGCCUUCCGCUCUACCGAAGCAAAGAUGCUUGUUCAGUGUGAGGCUGGCGCACGCAUUGGAUGCUCAAUCUCUGCUUCUAACAAGUGCAAACCCCCUUGGUGGAAAGUUCUGUUUGGAAUUGCACGAAUGGAUUAUGUAGACCGAGAACAGUGCGAAGAGCGUGAGAUGGCUACUUGUCUUGCGGCUGCAAAAGAGGCAUGCAUUCAGUUUGCCGAGGAGAGAUGCUUGCAACCCUUCAGAGAUGCAAGAAUUGCUUCUGACAGUGUGAAUGGAAGCCCUCCGCUUGUUUUCUGGCACCACAAGACUGUCGAGAAAGAAUUGUCAGGCAAAAGAAAGGACUCUGAGCCAGCUUGUUUUGUUAAAGAAGUUUCCCAUGGUUCAUUGAAAUCCAACUGUGAAAUUUCAGUGACAAAUUAUAGGGGAAGUGACUUACUGGAUGGUGUAUUUGGAGAGAACAGCCAAGCAACUGCAGCUGAUUAACCCACGAAUAAAUUGUGAUUAUAGCAUGCUGGAUUGCAUCAAGCACUAGUGCACUUCACAUGUCCAUAGCCGACUUAGAUUAGAGAGAGCAGGCCCCUGCACCUUCUUUCCUUAAGAGUGUUGUGUUCUUCAAAGAGGAUAUGGAAAACGAGAGAAACAUGUGGACACCGUAUGCCCUGGAUAUUCUGAUGCCAUAUUGCUUCUUGUGUGUCUUCUGCAGUUUCUGCUACCAGACAAUGUGGUGGAGUUGGGGUCGAUGAACUGGAGCAUGUCGUACGAGUGAUAAUAUACCAGGAGCACGUUGAUGAAGAUGCCAAGUGGAAUCUGCCACAAUUAUGGUCAUUAUGUUCAUAAUUCAUUCUAAUUAGUUGCCAUCUUUGGAUAUAAUUUUUCCUUCAAUAAAAGUUUUAUGACGUGGCCACUGGACGCUUUGAUCAUGCAUUUGAUUAUGUAGUUGUAGAUUUGUUUUACUUGGAUGAAUUGGAUUGCAGCCGUUGUCUCUGUUCUCUGUAGAAAUCCGCCUUAUGCCAAAUAAUGACAUGUUCCAGCAAUUCUUAGCUACUGGGAGAAAAAAAAGAUGGUACUGAGCUAAAAGGGUUGUCGUCUUGAGAACAUACGAUUUGAUUUGGCAGAUUAGACUGGAUUUUAGUUGCAGAUAACAAUUGUAAGCGGCAGCUUUCGAUCUUCUUACGAAUGAUAUCAGUUGACUUUUUCAUUUACA